UCAUAGCUAUGGAUAGAUAUGGAGGUCUGCUUGGAGGAUUUCUCAGGGCGGUGCCGCCUGUCCAGAAGCCACUAUCGCUCACUGAUGGGAACAAAUUUAGAGAGGGCAUUAUGUCAGAAGUUGGUAAAUAUGUAUCCACCCUAGUUGAUCCUAGAAAUAUGAUGUUGGACUCUUUUCAUCACCUAAAACACAACAAGAGCCUUCAGGGAUCAUUUUUGGUGCAUGCUGGGACUGUCAGCGAUCAGGAAGUCUGUGGUACCCCCAUGUUUUGCUAUAAGGAUGGUCUUUCUAAUCCAGAGAUUGACAGAUUAUUGACACCUAUUUCUCUUACCCGCCUGACUGUGCCCAACAAUGAAAAUUCUGAUGUUUUUAGAAUAGGCAACAUAAUCUACAGCGAGGACUCUGGGCUGUUUGACAUAAUUCCCACGCUCAGAACAAGACUGAUGGAGAGAAACCUGCAUGAGGGACUUGUUUUUGUUGGUCCUCUGAUAAAGAACAUAAACAGUUCAUUUGUCAAUAAGAUAACUACUGCCAUAAAGGGAGAUACUGUUCUGAAUGAGUCACUUUCCCACGGCCUGGUUUUGAAACUUCCUGUAGAACAGUUUAUGGACUUUGAAACUACCAACACUUUUCACUACACCGGCAGGUUGCCAAUGACUCACCGAAGCUAUAUUUAUUAUGCUCUGGGCUAUGUGAUUACCGCAGACGGGACACAGAGCCUGCUUCAAAAAUUCUUUCGGACCCCGAUAGAGGGACCUGAAUUUACUCGCUUGGUAAGAGAUUAUUUUGCAGGGGAGAUCAGGAACUUUUUCCUGGGUGACAAUGAUUUUGGGCAGGGUAAUUUUCUAAUGUUUGGAGCUGUUUGUAGAUGUGGAUAUUUUCCAGAAGAUUCAUUGCUGACCAGAACCAGAGUUUCCAUCAAGGGUGGUGGGUUGUCUUUAAUUGAAAUUCCUGACUUUACAGUGUCUAGAGGACCGUGGCAGUUUAUCUGAAAAUGGCGACCCAAACCAUGGACGUGGAGCCUGUUCAGACCGUGAACGCAAUUGAUGCCGCCAUCGCCGAGCUGAAGCUGAUGGCCGGCCACAGCCAUGAAGCUAAUGUGCUGGCUGGCAGGCUGCUUCAUUUUAAGAUGAGAGAAGUUUGUACCCAGACUGUGGCUCAGUUUCUGGAUGCCUUUUCCAGCGUGUUGGAUGAAGGGCUGUGUGCCUUUAUUGGAAACUACAGCCAGAGUUUGGAUGAGAUGGUUCAGCGGUAUGUGUCUGGGGGCUUUGCGGCUGUGAAGGAAAAUGGUUAUCUGGCAGCUGCUAGGUUUUAUGACACCUAUGUGCUUAGAAAUGAUGUCAAGUAUGAGAGUGUCCCCCACAUGUUUAUGCGCAUUUCGGCAUUUUGUGCUUAUCACUGCAUACAGAAUGAGUGUCUCUUCAAGACCUUGAAGCAUAUGGAGCUAGACAGGGGGAAUGUUGUGGAGAAUGCCAUGGAUUUGAUUACUUAUUUCUUUGAGAUGAUUGCUUCUCAGCAGGUGUGCUGUGCCACGCCCGUGAUGAGAUCCGCUGGUUUGAGGGAUGCUAAUUUAAGUAGUUGUUUCAUCUUUGCCCCCGCCCUGGACUCUGAGGAAAAAACUGUGGAUGCAGUGUUUUCUGAGUUAACAAAGCUGUUGGCGUGUAAGUCGGGAGUGGGUAUGGAUCUGUCCACCUACUCUCAUGGAAAGAACCUGCAUGCUGUCCUGAAGGCCCUUGAUGGACAGAUCACUUACUUUAAUGAUCACAAUAUUAGGCCCGUCAGCGUGGCUGCCUAUAUGGAGAUUUGGCAUACCAACAUCAUGGACUUUCUGACUGCGAAGCUUCCAGAGAACCCAGAACGAUGUGGCAACUUAUUUCAAGGAGUGUGCAUACCAGAGAUUUUCUUCAGAACCUACAAAAAUGAUCCAGAGUCCAAUUGGUACCUGUUUGAUCCCAAGAAGGCCGAAGUCCUAACAAACACCUAUGGGUAUAUGUUUAGUAUAGCCUACGCAGGAUUAGUGGAGCAGGGGGCAUAUGAAGCAGUGGUUCCCAUUAAGAGCGUGAUGUUCGCUCUUGUUUCCUGCAUAAUAAAGACUGGGGGGCCUUAUAUUUUGAACAAGAAAGCUAUAAACAGACAUGACUGGCAUGAAUGGUCCACACAUCAGUAUAGGGCCAUUAAUUGUGCAAAUCUUUGUGCAGAGGUGAUACAGUAUCCAGGAGAGAACGUGUCCACCUGUAACCUGGCCAAUAUCUGUCUGCCAAAGUGUUUGGAGGAUGACAAAUUUGUCUCUGGAAAGAGUUGUCUACUCACGUACGAGCGUGAGUUUUCCAUUGAGAGGCUGGAGAGGGCCACAGAGGCUGCAGUGUUUAUCAUCAAUGCCUGCAUCCAUGGUGGCACUUUACCUACACAGAGGGCCAGGCGGGGGCAGAGUGACAGGUCUAUGGGUAUUGGAGUACAAGGAUUAGCAGAUACCUUUGCUAUGAUGGGGUUGGGAUAUUUUGAUGCAGGGAGUGAGAUACUUGAUCAGAAGAUAGCAGAGACCCUGUAUUUCAAUGCACUCAAUACCAGUAUCAACUUUGUGAAGAUAGGCAAGGGGGAACCCUAUGCUAACUAUGAGCAGAGUAAGCAUUCCAUUGGGGUGCUCCAUUGGCAUGACUGGGACAUGUGUAGCCCCAUGGUCUAUACAAGAGAUGAGUGGGAAGAUUUGGCAAGGUCCUGCGAGGUACAUGGUGUAUACAAUUCACAAUUUGUGGCCUAUAUGCCUACUGCUGGCACUGGGCAAAUCACAGGUUACUCAGACUCCUUCUAUCCAUUUUAUUCAUCCAUGUCAUCCAAGGUGUCAAAUAAAGAAGAAAUCUUGCGACCCAACAUGACCCUCAUGAGCAGAAUGUCAGAUAGUGAGGUCCAGACCCUUAGGGAGUGUAACUGGGAUAUUGCCAAACUUCCAGAGCCCCUGCUGCAGAAAUAUAGAAUUUUCCUGUCAGCCUUUGAUUAUGAACCCAGCCUGUAUGUACGCAGAGCUAUGCUUAGGGCACCAUUCAUUGAUCAGAGCCAGUCUAUGACCUUGUUUUUGAAUGAAGAUUAUGCAAGCAGUGCUUCAAAUAUAAAGAAUUUGUUGAUGUAUGGGUGGGAGUGUGGGUUGAAAACCUUGAUGUACUACUGCAGAAUACGUAAAACAGCAACCUCUAACGAAUUUGAAUGUGUCAGAAGGAAUUCACAACAGAAAUAUGUAAACUGUGCUGAUGGGGAAGGUGCUGGGGGGGAGGAGCCUUCUGAAAAUUGUAUAAAGGCUGAGGGUGCGACGUGUUCACUAUCUGUGGGUGCUUCUUGUCUGCACUGUCAAUAACUGAUUGCUCUCAAUAAAAUCAGUAAAAUUUA
rnacentral:tmRNA from 1 species